UUUUUUUUAAUGUGUAAACUUGCUCAGAGCACUUAGUGUGACCCUGACGCAAUCUUUAUUAAUGUUCUUAUUACUAUUAGCAACAUAUAACAUUAUUUAUGGAAACUUACAAAUUUUUUAACAUUUAGGUAUUUUUUUUUAACAUUACGGUAACAUUGAUAAAAAUAUACAGAAAAAUACUAUACAGUUAUCGAUUAUUGGCUUUUGUAAACAAAGUUAAGAUUGGCUUUUGUUUUCUUCUUUUUUUUUUGACUUAGGCAUAAAAUUUUUGUAACGCCGCUCCUGGACCCCUCAUCCGGUGCGAAACGGAGGCAUGGACGACAGGGAGACCUCCAAGCAUCAGCAACGCAAGCGCGGCAUCGCCUCGUCCCUCUUUUCCUGGCCGAGUCCAAUCGAUGCAACUCUAAGAAGAACGGACGCAUAUGCUUCUUUCUGUGGAUGAAUAUGAAACUCCUGGCUGAUUUUAAUAUUAUUUUAUUUUCAGGUUUAUGUUUUGUUUGUAUUUUAUUUGCAGGUUUUGAUUGGUUUGUUUGGAAGCUAUCGUAGUAAGUGAAUUAAUUUGUGUUUUGGCUGAUUAUAAAAUGUAUUCUAUUUGCAGGUUCAAUUGGUUUAUUUGGAGUUUUGCGUUGUAUUUGGUAAGCGAGUCUAUUUCUGUUUUGGCUGAUUUUGAUUGUAUUUUAUUUGCAGGUUUUGAUUGGUUUGUUUGAUGGCUAUCGUAGUAAGUGAAUUGAUUUGUGUUUUGGCUGAUUAUUAAAUGUAUUCUAUUUGCAGGUUCAAUUGAUUUAUUUGGAGGUUUGCGUUGUAUUUGGUAAGCGAGUCUAUUUAUGUUUUGGCUGAUUUUGAUUGUAUUUUAUUUGCAGAUAUUGAUUGGUUCGUUUGGAAGCUAGCGUGGUUCAAUUGGUUUAUUUGGAGGUGUGCGUUGAAUUUGAUUGUGAUUGGUUUGUUUGGAAGCUAGCGUGGUAAGUAAAUUAAUUUGUGUUUUGACUGAUUUUAAUUGUAUUUUAUUUGCAGGUUCAAUUGGUUUAUUUGGAGGUGUGCGUUGAAUUUGGUAAGCGAGUUUAUUUCUGUUUUGGCUGAUUUUGAUUGUAUUAUAUUUGCAGGUUUUGAUUGGUUUGCUUGAAGGUGAUUUGGUAAGCGGUUUAAUUUAUGUUUUGGCUGCUUUUAAUAAGUUUUAUUUGUAGGUUUAUACUUUCUGGACUUGGUGAUAAUGCGUCAAUCCUCGCCGUAACCAUUGGACCAAGUCUUAACCACUCGGCUGGAGGACGCCUUCCUUUUCAUCCCCUCUGUGGUCUGGCACCAUAAUUUCUUGUAUACCCAAUGGCUGGCCCCUGAUUCCUUCAAGUAUUGUCUCCCUAGUGCAUUUCCCUUGAGCAUACAUUCCUCUGUACAUGUUCAUUUGCAGUUCGCAGAAUCUGUCCGUGUGUUUGUUUUGUUUUUUUUUUUUCUUUCUACGGGCUCUUAUUGUCCAUUUUAGCCUUUUCUUCAAUCUCCAAUCCAAAGUUCAGCCAUUUUAUUUUUGAUCCCGCAGGCGUUCAAGAAAGUUGUUUUAAGCCUAUUGGAGUUGGGCAGGUUAGCCCCGGUCGUGUCAAGAGUUUGUGGCGGAAAGCGAUUGGAAUGUGGGAAAUGGCUUGCGUUAUUAUUGUUUGUGUUCAUGUCUGUAAAUUAUUCGGUAGUUUAGUUAGAUGUAAUGUAUAGCAAUGAGUUGUUUUAUUGUUUGUUUUCUAUUUGAUUGAGGAUAUUUGUUGUUUUGUGAUGUUCAGAA